rnacentral:tRNA from 2 species
GCUGGCAUAGCUCAGUUGGUAGAGCACCUGUUUUGUAAACAGGGGGUCGUGGGUUCAAGCCCUACUGCCAGCACCA